AUACGGAGGAUGCGAGCGUUAUCCGGAUUUAUUGGGUUUAAAGGGAGCGUAGGUGGGAUAUUAAGUCAGCUGUGAAAGUUUGGGGCUCAACCUUAAAAUUGCAGUUGAUACUGGUUUCCUUGAGUACGAUACAGGUGGGCGGAAUUCGUGGUGUAGCGGUGAAAUGCUUAGAUAUCACGAAGAACUCCGAUCGCGAAGGCAGCUCACCGGGCCGGAACUGACACUGAUGCUCGAAAGUGCGGGUAUCAAACAGGAUUAGAUACCCUGGUAGUCCGCACAGUAAACGAUGAAUACUCGCUGUUUGCGAUACACUGUAAGCGGCCAAGCGAAAGCGUUAAGUAUUCCACCUGGGGAGUACGCCGGCAACGGCGAAACUCAAAUGAAUUGGCGGGG
rnacentral:rRNA from 1 species